UACGUAGGUGGCAAGCGUUGUCCGGAUUUACUGGGCGUAAAGAGCGCGCAGGCGGUCGUUCAAGUCGCGUGUGAAAGCCCCCCGGCUCAACUGGGGAGGGUCACGCGAUACUGAUCGACUCGAAGGCAGGAGAGGGUAGUGGAAUUCCCGGUGUAGUGGUGAAAUGCGCAGAUAUCAGGAGGAACACCGAUGGCGAAGGCAGCUCGCUGGGACGGUACUGACGCUGAGGAGCGAAAGCGUGGGGAGCGAACAGG
rnacentral:rRNA from 1 species